rnacentral:rRNA from 1 species
AAACGAUGCACACUAGUUGUUGCUAUGCUAGACAUAGCAGUAAUGCAGUUAACACAGUAAGUGUGCCGCCUGGGGAGUACGGUCGCAAGAUUAAAACUCAAAGGAAUAGACGGGGACCCGCACAAGCGGUGGAGCAUGUGGUUUAAUUCGACGAUACGCGAAGAACCUUACCUGGCCUUGACAUAGAUAGAACUUACUAGAGAUAGUUUGGUGCUAGUUUACUAGAGCUAUCAUACAGGUGCUGCACGGCUGUCGUCAGCUCGUGUCGUGAGAUGUUGGGUUAAGUCCCGCAACGAGCGCAACCCUCGUGUUUAGUUACUAACAGUUCGGCUGAGGACUCUAGACAGACUGCCUGGGUAACCAGGAGGAAGGUGAGGACGACGUCAAGUCAUCAUGGCCCUUACGGCCAGGGCUACACACGUGCUACAAUGGGGUAUACAAAGAGCAGCGAUACCGCGAGGUGGAGCAAAUCUCAUAAAAUAUCUCCCAGUUCGGAUAGUAGUCUGCAACUCGACUACUUGAAGUUGGAAUCGCUAGUAAUCGUAGAUCAGCAAUGCUACGGUGAAUACGUUCCCGGGUCUUGUACUCACCGCCCGUCACACCAUGGGAAUUGAAUUCAUUCGAAGCGGGGAUGCUAAAAUAGCUACCUUCCACAGUGGAUUUAGUAACUAGGGUGAAGUCGUAACAAGGUAACC